rnacentral:pre_miRNA from 1 species
ACUGGCUUUAUUUGGUGCAUGGAGUACACUUUCAUCCUCUAGCACCAUAUGAAAUCAGUUU